rnacentral:lncRNA from 1 species
UUUUUUUUUAAUAUUAACCUUCUGUAUACUCAGGACACAAAGUUCCAGAAUAGCUGCACUGGAUACAAUUAUAGUAUUUCCAUCAUGAAAACACAAAGGUGCAAAUAUCAAAAGACAAAUUAAACAAGUGCAAAUGAAUGAAAGUGCAAAAAAGCUUCGGUUCCAUGAAAAUGCUUCUUCUGAAAACUCCGCCUCUGCCCUCUGCGAAAGCUGGUCCCUAAAACAAAGGGCAUUUGGGCAGGAUUUGUCACACCUACCUGACUUUUCCCUCCCUUCCCAUUUAGGGUGAACCCAACAGUCCCAGGGACCAUGGGGAAAGGAAGAAGAAAAGAUGGAGAUUGAUCAAGGGUUUUUGAAGACUUCCUGUCUUCCAUUGCACUCAAGCCCCAAAUAAGCCCUAAACAGUAAACCUGCCUUAUCAUUUUGAUUUGGACUUUUGCAUUUCAAAAGUGCUUGAAGUUGAUGUCGAAACUGGAUUUCUGGGGUGGGAAUAAUCAAGGGUAAUCAAGGGUGCAGAGGAAGGAAUGCACAUUCCUGUUCUGGCUGCGACUCAGCAACAGGAACAUCCAUCUUUGAGCAACAUUAUGUCAUUUCUGCAGCGUGAAAGGGAUCCUUAGCUGGCCCACACAUCUGCAAUGAGUACCGGAUCUCCUGAUAAAGAGUUCCUAAAGGAGUAUGAGUCUUGGGCUAGCAGUUAAGAAGGCCUUUUAAAGUGAAGAGUUUUCUAGGCAGUAAAUUCACAUUUGUUCCACACAGCCUACCCAGAUUUCAAGCUAACACAAUGACAUUUUCUGAGCAAUCAAACCAAACUAUUUUGUAGCGAAGAAGAAAAUGCAUCCCCCCCCCCCAGAUAAUACACUCACUGCUAGAGGUCCUGAUCCACUUAGGGAGAAAUUCAUGUGCAGCUGCACAAGGAACUGUGCAAGCAAAAGUUCUCUUGCUUUUUUUUGCUUGCUAGCCUGAUACUGCAGUGAGGGCUACUCAUGAAUAAACCCAAUCAGUAACUGAACUAUAGCACCAACCAGCUUGGGGCAGUAAACAUGGCACCUGUCAAAUCCUGCACUACAACUCACAUCAUCCCUUAUCAUUGGGCAAUGCUGUCUGGGGUGAUGGGAGUUGUAGUCCAACAAUAGAUAACUGUUUGCUGCAUAUAUACAUGACUGGAUUGUGGCAAUUGUGAGCAAUGAUACUGCUUGAGACUGGGGAUAGCUUGCAUCUUAAUUACAGAUGAGUAACAACUCUCACACACCCCUCCUGCCAUACACACUAGCCUUCACCAUAUUGUGAACUGAUUCUUUAUAAUGUAAUGUGUUUUUAACAAAAAUAAAAAUGAAAAACCUUUAGAGGUUAUGCGGUCCCUGCUCUAUACCCCUCUACGGUACAACUCAGCCAUGAUUCAGUGUAAGAUUAGGUGUGCUUCAACCCAUGGAUUUUCAUGGGUUAAGAAGCUAGUGUCCUCAACACAAGGAUCCCUCUGCAAACAAGUAAUUCUAAUGUCUUUCUCCCAGAUUUUCUGGCUUGAUUUUUUAUGAAAUCUGAUGUUCCGUAUCACAGAGUGACUCCAGAAUUAGUGUCAGGGUUUUACUGAUUCCCAUCAGUUCUUAACAAGAACAGGGAUCUAAAUCUCUUAAUGGGCUACAUAAAUCAUUCCAGCAACAACAAUGCAAAGAAUAAUUAGAAGAGCUCUCUGUGCAGCACCCUUGUGAAGUCAUUGUAACCUUUACUCUGUAUAAGCAUCACUCAGUAUAUUGCCAUUAGCAAAUCUGGGGGGGGGGGGAGUGCUCCUCGGCCCCUGGGAUUGGUGCCUGGCUGAUUGUCUCGCUUGGUCUUAGAAGAAAUGACCUCAAGCCUACUAAGGAGGAAUUGACUAGGAUACAAGUACAGAACCUGAGGACUGAUGGGAGUAUUCUGCUCAGGAGGCAUUUUAGCUGCCAUUAGCUCCCCGCAAAAAGGAGCUAUUAUUUAGAUGCUUGAGACAAAAUAACUCCAAUGGUGUUUCAGCUAAUACAUAAUUCUACUGACAACAGUAGUGCCAGAGCGGGAAAUGACCUACUGAGGUGAGGUUCUGAGAACCAGUCUGGUGCUUCUCUUAGUUCUCCAGUAUUCCUAAACAUAAGGAAAACGACAGUGGUAAAUGGAACUGGACAUACAAGCAGUAUAAAAUGGGCUGCCUUAUAUAUUGCAAGAUCCAUCUAGGGUUCUGCCAUUGGCAGAAGCUCUCUAGGGCCUCUGGCCAAGGUCUUCAGCAGCCCUGCCACUUGGAGGUGCCAAAGGUUUCAAGACAGAAUCUGGCAAGGCCCAGGCUGCCUCCUCUCUGACACUCGCUGCCUUUCUGAGCAAAUGUUUGGCAGCAACAUGCACAGAAAUAGCAAUGAGCAAACACAGGAAAGGUAGUUUCAUUUUAACCCUCCCUCACAUACAUGCACGGG